rnacentral:rRNA from 1 species
CUGGCAGUCAGAGGCGAUGAAGGACGUGCUAAUCUGCGAUAAGCGCCGGUAAGGUGAUAUGAACCGUUAUAACCGGCGAUUUCCGAAUGGGGAAACCCAGUGUGACUCGUCACACUAUCAUUAACUGAAUCCAUAGGUUAAUGAGGCGAACCGGGGGAACUGAAACAUCUAAGUACCCCGAGGAAAAGAAAUCAACCGAGAUUCCCCCAGUAGCGGCGAGCGAACGGGGAGGAGCCCAGAGCCUGAAUCAGCAUGUGUGUUAGUGGAAGCGUCUGGAAAGGCGCGCGAUACAGGGUGACAGCCCCGUACACAAAAGCGCAUGUGCUGUGAGCUCGAUGAGUAGGGCGGGACACGUGGUAUCCUGUCUGAAUAUGGGGGGACCAUCCUCCAAGGCUAAAUACUCCUGACUGACCGAUAGUGAACCAGUACCGUGAGGGAAAGGCGAAAAGAACCCCGGCGAGGGGAGUGAAAAAGAACCUGAAACCGUGUACGUACAAGCAGUGGGAGCACAGGUUUACCUGUGUGACUGCGUACCUUUUGUAUAAUGGGUCAGCGACUUAUAUUCUGUAGCAAGGUUAACCGUAUAGGGGAGCCGUAGGGAAACCGAGUCUUAACCGGGCGUUAAGUUGCAGGGUAUAGACCCGAAACCCGGUGAUCUAGCCAUGGGCAGGUUGAAGGUUGGGUAACACUAACUGGAGGACCGAACCGACUAAUGUUGAAAAAUUAGCGGAUGACCUGUGGCUGGGGGUGAAAGGCCAAUCAAACCGGGAGAUAGCUGGUUCUCCCCGAAAGCUAUUUAGGUAGCGCCUCGUGAAUUCAUCUCCGGGGGUAGAGCACUGUUUCGGCUAGGGGGCCAUCCCGGCUUACCAACCCGAUGCAAACUGCGAAUACCGGAGAAUGUUAUCACGGGAGACACACGGCGGGUGCUAACGUCCGUCGUGAAGAGGGAAACAACCCAGACCGCCAGCUAAGGUCCCAAAGUCAUGGUUAAGUGGGAAACGAUGUGGGAAGGCCCAGACAGCCAGGAUGUUGGCUUAGAAGCAGCCAUCAUUUAAAGAAAGCGUAAUAGCUCACUGGUCGAGUCGGCCUGCGCGGAAGAUGUAACGGGGCUAAACCAU